rnacentral:lncRNA from 1 species
UAUCAAUUAUUCAUUAAAUUUUUUUUGAAUAUUUAUAUAAGAUCAAAAAAUCCAACUAAAAUUUUUUGGUUAAUUUUUUUGAUGAGAUCCUAUAUUAUUAUAAAUAUUAUCAGAGCUAUGGUUAUGAGCACUAGGGACUAUGACUUAAGUGGUAUUAAAAUUUGAAUUUGUGAUUACUAGAGAUUGUGAUAGAAACAAUAUUAGAAAUAUAGGUUUAUUUAUAAGGAUUUCUCUAGGAAUAAGAUAUAUUGAGUGCAGACGGGACAGUUAUCGGACAUUAAGAUAUAAUAUUUAUUUAUAAUGCUAUAUAUAAUCAAUAAACUAACAUUCUGAUUUAUUUGAAAUUUUGCAAUGAACUCAUAAUAAUGUUUCAGUGUAAAUUGGGAAUAGCAUCAAUGGUGUUAUGAAAACAAUGAUUAUAGACUUAUAGUAUUGGGAAAGUGUUCAUACGGUGAUAUUCCGUUAACAUGUUAGAUGUCGUUUGUCAUUGUUUAAGUAAUUUAAAUGAUUUUUGUGUUCACUAUUUAGCAAAAUGAAUGGAUCAAAAGAGCACAGCUGAAGCAUGAUGGAUUUAUAACUCAAGUUAUAUGAAGAUUUUUGACAUAUGAUUCUAUUAUGAUUAAAAUAGAACAUAAUCAGUUUAUAUAUAUUUAUAAUCUAGUUAAAGUUCAUCUUCACACACACACAUAGAAAUAUAUAUACAUACGUGUGCGUGCAUGCGUGCGUGUGUGUAUAAUGUAAUUAAUUUUCUGCAGUAGUAAUUAUAGAAAAUGGAGAUGAUCGAGUUAUCUCAAAAAAUUAUUUUAGUUGAGGUAAUAAGAAAGCUAGGCCUGUCUCAUUUUGUACAUGGAUAAAGCUAGGACUGUCUCAACUAGUAUAUGGAUAUGAACAAAAUCAAAGACAGUGCACCAAAGAUCGUAUAAUAUAGUGGUGAGUAGAGGGGACAACCCUAUGAAGUUGUAAGGCAAUGGGGGUGCAGUGGUGCGGAGCAACUGGAAUUAGAAGAAACAGCUGCCACUCACGCUUUCACACCCUUAAAAGAUGAUUUAGUGUAGAAAUUAAAGAUGUGAAUUAUUUUGAUAAAAAAUAUUAUAAAUAUGCAUAUCAAAGGAUGAAUGCUAGCUAUAAAGAUUUGCAAGUAGAAUACCAGCAUCUGAGAUGAAAGAAUGAUUUAUUAAUGAAUAGACAUUAAAAAAAAAAUGAAUGAGGCUACUAAACUGUGCCGUGAAGUAUGCAGACAUACGCUCCAUCCAGAUGCUGAGUCUUCGGGGGCAAAGAAUUCGAUAUAGAAAAAAAGAAGGAAGUGGAACAAAAAAAAGGAUAUAAUUUAUUAUUUCACAAAAUGAGUGUUUAUGUCUUAUGCAAUAUUUUCAUUACUGGACUUGACUUGCAUUGGAAUUUAUAUGCUAAAUGAUUUAGUAGCCUGAUAAACUUCAAACUAUAGUGUUGAAAACUUUUGUAGUUAGUUAAGUAUCUAUGUAUAUUUUGAAGAAUGUUUAAAGUGAUGAUUAUAGCCGAAGGGUUUGAUACAUGAACAUAUUUCUUUAGUAGGCAUGGUAUAUUUGAGGUAAUUUCUAAAUUAAUAUUUUACAGCAUAAUUUAGAACAAGUUAAAAAUUUUGUUUGGAGGAUAAUAAAAAAAGAAAGUGAUUAGCAAUUACAUUUGUACAGCAAUAGUGGAAUGAAUCUGACAAACACAGGUAUCAUGAUGUGAUCAUACUUAGAAGUUACAAGAGCAAUGGAGAUAUAGUAUAUCCGGAUUUUAUUCAAACUUUAGAAUAUAAAUUUCGAGGACAAAAUUUAUGUAAAGAAAGGAGAAUGAAAAACCCGAGCCCAAGGCUCAUUAUUUUGGACAGGGCUAGUCACUUGAGCCACAUGAGGACUGCAUGUUGUGGGCCAUGGUAUGUUCUUGGCAUCUAUGUGCGAUCCCAAAUGGAGGAAGAAGAAGAUGGAUCAUGAUUUUAGGGUUGAAGGGUGACCUUUGUGGGAGAAAUAGAGCAUCAUUUGUUUUGAUCUUCCUCACCGACGACCAAAAUUCUGACUUAUCUACCUCAUUCUCUCCAACCUUUUGCCCUUAAUCUAUUCCUUUCUCUCUCUUGCUCGUUCCUUUGUAUCUCUCUCUCACAUCUCUUUGUCUCUCUCCAAUUCCAUGUUCUUAAUCCCUUCUCAUUAAAUUAAAUAGAGAAAGGAAAUAGGUCCUAAAGUCUUUCCUCUCUUAUUUCUCUUCUCCUCCCACCACUUAUCAUCUCAUCUCUUAUCUAUCGUCUCUUUCUUUCUUUGUGAAACUACGCAAAAAAUCAAAAGGAGAAUUAUGAGGAUAAGGUGUUAGCCUAUUGAAGCUAAUGUCAAGGUAAACCCAAAUCCCUUCGUUGAACUUAAUUUCAGAUUUUAAGAUUAACCUGGAAUGGUCUAGGAUAAGAGAUGAUGUAGUUUCUGAUAUUUUAGAAAGAUGAGAUAGGAAUGGAUUUGGAGGAAAGGAAUCGAUGUUAAUCUAGAACGGACAAAUUCUGCUAAUCCAAUAAUUUUAACUCUUAAUUUCAAUCUAAAAAUUUAAUUAAGAGUUGUUAACUCAUUAGUUAAUCAAUUUGCAAAAUCUAGGAAUUUUUGAAUAUGGUUAGCUAGAAUAAAUAAAUUAUAGAAUAGGACCGACAUGUGGGGAAUGACAUUUAAUAAGAGAUUUGAAAUUUCAAAAUUUUGAAGAAUUUUAAAAAUUAUUAUAAAAUAGUAGCAUGGAAUUGAUUUGAGAUAUGUGUAUGAUUUUGGGAUUAUUAGGUUCCAAAGGAUUCAAGUGAGGCAUUUGGGUAAUUUAGUAGUGGGCUGUUGCAAGGUAAGUAAUAUUUGCACUUUAUAUUAAUUGAUUAGAAUUAAAUAGAAAUUAUUUUAUUUUUCAUUGUUAUGAUUUUCAGAUUUACUUGUAUAUAAUAUCUCUAUAAAUAUGGAUACCUAAUUGAUAAUUUUAAUUCUGUGAAUUAAAUAGGAUAAUGAUACCUAUUAUGAUUGGAUCGAGCAUGUAAAAUUUUGAAUAUUGCAUUGUUUAAUUGUAUGUUUCAAAGCUAUAUCCAAAAGAAAAGAAAUAUUUCAAUUAUAUAUAUGUGUGUGUAUGUGUGCAUAUGUCAUCUGUCAUCUGACUCUCAAUCCUACUAUAUAUGAGUCCAGAUUAGAUUGUAUAGUGAUCCCCACUAUAGGGGCGAUCAUGGUGAUGCCCCACCAAAGGGAUAUAGAGCGGUGACCGAUCAUAAUGAUCCCUACCACAAGGGA